rnacentral:tRNA from 1 species
GGGAUAUAGCUCAGUUGGUAGAGUGUCUGGAUCGCACCCAGAAGGUCGAGGGUUCGACUCCCUUUAUCUCC